CAUAAACGUGGUGCUAAAUCUCUCUUAUAUUUGAGUUAGACACCGUUUAUAGGCCAGAUAUGCCAACUUGUCGUUGUGUAGUGCAGGAUUGCAGCAGUAAAUCGAAUCCUGAAAGUGAAAUUUCACUGCACAGGCCAAAAAGUAAAUUUGAAAUAGCAAAAUGAAAGAUUUUCGUACGAGCGCAUGGAGCUAACUUCAACCCGAAAGGUCUCUUUUCCAUAUGCCCCGAUCAUUUUAAAGCAGAUUGUAUCGAGAGGAGUGUUCACGUCGAUGGGGCGCGAAAAAGGAUUGUCCCAUGCAUAUGUACAAUUCCAAAAAUCUGGGAAAAAAAUUGUUCAGGUGGCCAUUUCCUUGAGAAGUCGCCAAAGGGCAGUUUUUUAUAAAGAUACUCACGAAAGCAUUUCCUCGCUUCUGAUGCUAGAACAGCCACGAUUUAUGAAGAUAUCAACAUUUCUACUGUUUAGGACACCCAUCUGGAUGCCACUCGACAGCCUGUUGUAAGCUUAAAUAAGUGUAGUCAAUGCCAGGUCAUUUUAAUGCAGAACAAAGGCCUCAAGCAGAUUUCAAGUGGCCAAAUUGACAAACAAGGUGGCCCAGAAUCAACAGCAAUGAGUGCAAACUUUACCGGACGUAAAGAUGAGCCAGAAUAUACAAAACUUUGUCAAGGUGUUUUACUAGAUGUUCAAUUCCAUUUUCACUUUCCUGAAAACGAUCAUUCAUUCGAUUCAAGCCGAAUUCUCUGCUGUAGCGGAGGUAGCUCUUCAAAUCAUCCAUUUUGUGGCCGGCAGAGAGCAAAUUACGGAUACUAUAUUUUAAAAUACAUCAUGCAAGAGUGUAUGGAAUCAAGUAACACUCCUUGUAAUUUAAGUUGAAUUAUUGCCCCUCUGAGUGGACGAGUCGAAACAACGAAACGACAUAACGAAAAGAUAAAACACCAUGACGAAACCGGCGACGAAACAGCAAAACGACAAACAACGACGAACUGAUGUGGUCGGUGAUGAGUCGGACUCGUAAAAAGACGAGUCGAAGAGGCCAGCCGACGAAUCGAACUGAGAAGACGUCGAAACGAACUCACGAAGCGAUAAGUCGGCUUCUAAAACGGCGAGUCGAACUCGGAAAACAACGACUCGACCAGAAGUAAAGGAGUCCGGAAACGAUGAAACACCAUAAAAAAACGACCAGUCGAAAAUUUUGUACACGAUCUACCUUCAUAAAUACUAGCAAUUUUUAAAAUAACUAUAUGUUAGCGUAUAGAUCGGUGUAUUGUGGU